GGAGGAUCUUCAGAAGAAUUAUGGCAAGAUUAAUACAUUCAUCUCAAUAUUCUUUUUAUUAAAUUAAACCAUUGUAUUGCUGUUCAUUAGCGGAAAUAUAAACUCAACUUUUCAUUUUCUAUCUUUUAGAGACUUUAAAACAGGUGAAAGAGAAGGUUGAAGCAGAUUUGAAAGAACUUCGAAGGAAUACCAACACGUGUGUCUAUGCCGUUGACAGAGAUUGGAAAAAAAUAAUUGAAGCUUGUGUCAAUGUGACUCUAGACCCCGACACAGCCAGUCCCAGCCUCACAGUCUCUGAAGACGGCUCACGAGUGAGAUUCACAGGGGAGGGAUCAGCAGAGUGGCCCAGUGUGCUGGGCAGGGAGGGGUUCACCUCAGGGGGGCACUACUGGGAGGUGGAGGUGGGGGAGAAGGGCUACUGGGUCCUGGGGGUCUCCACACACCCUCAUGAGAAGAGCAUACCUCAGAAACCAGGGGAGGGCUACUGGCUUAUGAGGCUGGUUAAAGGGAAGACCUGUAAAGCUGUGAGCCAGUCAGUGGAUCAGACCUUAAAUCUGGAGAAGAUGUGCAAGAUGUGGGGGGUGUAUCUGGAUCACGAGGGAGGGAGGCUGUCGUUUUACAAUGCAGAGACCAGAUUUCACAUCCAUACUUUAGAAGGCUCAUUCCCUGGGCAGGUCUACCCCAUAUUCAGCCCAGGGUCACACGAUAAAGGACCCUUGAUAAUCAAUACAAAAGUGAAGAAUGUGUAGUCCUGACUAGUAGCCUACUACACUAUAAUAUAUAUAUUAUAGAUUUGCUGGUUUAAGAGUGGUCUUGGUUUGUAUAGAAAAGCCACACGGAUGAAUGCUCACUUUUCCAUGUAGUUGAUAUUUAAACUGAAGCUGGAAUAUCACCUGGAUACUAUUGCUGGCUGAGAUUAAUGUUCUGAUUUGUGCUAUAUUGAUGCUAAUCUUCUUUUACAUUUUAUUUUCAAUGUAUUAUUUUACCAACUUUAAUAAAAAUAUAUAUA